rnacentral:rRNA from 1 species
AAAUUGAAGGGUUUGAUCAUGGCUCAGAUUGAACGCUGGCGGCAGGCCUAACACAUGCAAGUCGAACGGUAACAGGAAGCAGCUUGCUGCUUCGCUGACGAGUGGCGGACGGGUGAGUAAUGUCUGGGAAACUGCCUGAUGGAGGGGGAUAACUACUGGAAACGGUAGCUAAUACCGCAUAACGUCGCAAGACCAAAGG